rnacentral:rRNA from 1 species
GACGAACGCUGGCGGCGUGCUUAACACAUGCAAGUCGAACGGAAAGGCCCUGCGUUUGUGGGGUGCUCGAGUGGCGAACGGGUGAGUAACACGUGAGUAACCUGCCCUUGACUGUGGGAUAACUUCAGGAAACUGGGGCUAAUACCGGAUAGGAGCUCCUGCUGCAUGGUGGGGGUUGGAAAGUUUCGGCGGUUGGGGAUGGACUCGCGGCUUAUCAGCUUGUUGGUGGGGUAGUGGCUUACCAAGGCUUUGACGGGUAGCCGGCCUGAGAGGGUGACCGGCCACAUUGGGACUGAGAUACGGCCCAGACUCCUACGGGAGGCAGCAGUGGGGAAUAUUGCACAAUGGGCGGAAGCCUGAUGCAGCAACGCCGCGUGCGGGAUGACGGCCUUCGGGUUGUAAACCGCUUUCGCCUGUGACGAAGCGUGAGUGACGGUAAUGGGUAAAGAAGCACCGGCUAACUACGUG